rnacentral:rRNA from 1 species
GACGUAGGGGGCAAGCGUUGUCCGGAAUCACUGGGCGUAAAGAGCUCGUAGGCGGGGAAGCGCGUCCUGGAGUAAAUCCAACUGCUCAACGGUUGGUUCAUCUGGGAUACGGCUUCUCUUGAGGACAGAAGAGGAGAACAGAAUUCCGAGUGUAGCGGUGAAAUGCGUAGAUAUUCGGAGGAAUACCGGUGGCGAAGGCGGUUCUCUGGUCUGAUUCUGACGCUGAGGAGCGAAAGCCAGGGGAGCAAACGGG